CCCGGUCGAGCGAACUUUCUGGAAUUCGCGACCAAAAACUGACAGAACACCCGGUCGGGCGUUUUCCCCUUGAAAAUCGCCCGGUCGGGCGAUUUCUCUGGAAUCCUCCAAAAGCACUAUCUUCGUCUUCGAAAGGGCUUCGCGUGAGUAUCUUAAACGCCCCAAUCGGAGUCCGGAUGAGAGAGUUAUGACCAUUAUACGAAAGUCGCGCAGUGAGGGGCAAAUGACUCCAUAAGAAAUGUUUGGACGGGCGUCGCUUCCGUUCCCUCCCCCCACGAGGCCUUGAGCACCUUGACAUGUCUCCACCCUCUUUUCGGACCCCAAUUAACCCACGGCCCUCGACAUCGUUGUAUUUUAUGAUUGUGAAUACCCGGAUUCACUUCAGAAUUAGUUGCCUUGAAGUUGUUCAUUGAUCCUAGGAUUCUACAUUCUUUUAUAUAGUCUUUUCAAAGCAUAUAUACUUGUUCUUGUUUUAUUUGAUGUUUUAAUUGUUUUUAAUUUAAUUGAAUUAGUAGUUUUUUUAAAAAAAACUCAAUUUAAUUUUCUAGAUAGUAGUUAAGGUUGAUUCGUGGUACUUAAGUUGACUGAUUGAGGAAUACGAUACUCUUACUUGCCAUGGUUGCAUUAGCCUCACAACUAAUGCACGCUUGUGAGAUAGCUUUAGUAGUAAAAUAAAAGCGAUCCAACUACCACUCAAAAAUUCAUACACAAUCUGAUAAUAUCGAUACACACAACCUCGACAAUAAAUAUUUUUAAAUGAAGACAUGGACUGGUCAAACACGUAAAUGGAAUUGAACUUAACGCUUUUAAUUUGCUAACUUGUCGUUAACCACGAAAACAGAGGACGGAGAUUAAGAAAAGACAAAGCCAAGUUGGAGUUAUAGGUUUUUAUCAAAAACUUCGAUGAAGGAAAUAAUAAAUGAGAAAAUAUUUUUUAAAAUACUAAGAAUGAUUACUUUUCCAGUUUCAUUAAAAAUCAAACAAACACUGGAAUUUAAAAAUUUAAGGAAUCAGAUUACUUUCCCAAAAUAAACAUGGUCAAUGUGAUAUAGAGAUAAACACUAGCCAGACGUAAUAUAACCCAAUGAAGAAUGGAGAAAUUAAACAGAAAUAAACUGAAACGAAAAUACAAAUUAGAAACAAUAAAUCGUAGAUGUAAUUUGUAAGCCGAGUGGAGGAGUCCUCUUUCUGCAAGACGAGAUACGCCCUGGUAGUGCUCUCGGAUUGACGUGUCGUCUCCAAAUAUAAAACGACUUCGUCUUAUUCAUUGCAGCACCGCAAACGGAACAAGCUCCGGUGAACCGGAUGAUAGUGAGGGCAGAGCUUCGACGGAAGACUAUGCAGAGAGAGAGCGCUUUGCAAUGCUAUGCUUAGUGUAGUGUGAGGUAUACAAUGCAUGGAGUGACUGCCUAUUUAUAGGCCAAGUCCCCUCAUUGGGUGAUGAUGGAGUCAACAACCAUUAUGUGCGUCAUGAUGGCUCGACUGUAACCGUCGGGGGUUACAAGCUGUUACGGAAGCUGAAGAGACAUCAUGCAUCUCGACAGGCUACACGACGGGAUUCAUCGUGGACCUUUUGGCACACGAUGCACCGGGGUCCAUCGGGAAUCUUUUGUCACCGGCUAUGCGUUGAGGCCCAUGUGGACCGAUUUUGACCCGCUAUGUGUCGGGGUCCAUCAUGGACCUUUUAGCACCCGUUGUGCAUCUGGGUCUAACGUGGACCUUUUAGCACCCGCUAUGUGUCAGGUUCUUCAUGGACCUUUUGACACAUGACACAUGGUACACGACACGGUUAACUGAGCACGGGUCACAGGACAUGGUGCACAGAGGCGGCUCGCGGCGAGGCAGCGUGCGCAUGUGGGCUCUACCGCCCAUCUUAGUCCACGAUAAUUAUUACACGUAAUAAUUAAUCUUAUUAAAUACAUGUUUAAUAAGGUUCUCCCCACCAAUGUGGGAUAAUUAACUCUUUUAAUUAAUCCAUUUGUUUGAUCUAAUAGCUCCUUUAUAACUCACAAUUGUGACAAACUUUAAUUCAUGAUUUCUCAUUCGUCGGGGAAUCGAUUUAGAGAAAAUGAAUAUACCACGCUCAUCUAUUCAGAAAUAUAUCUCCCACUUUUUAAAAGGCCCAAAUCCUAAAACUAAAAGUAGCCCAAGCCCAAGACUUCCAACAAUUAAAUCAAAAAAAAAGAGAGAGAACAAACCAACUAAAAUAAAAUACUCCCAGAUCACUAAUACGUCUUCUUCCAUCCCCAAUGACUACUCCCUCUCUCUCAAUAUCUUCCCCCACAGUGACUAACACCCAAAUUGUGAUGCCUCCUCUCCUCUCUCUCUCAACUCUUGCUCGCUGCCGGCGAUUGGUACCAUCGCAGCUCCACCGUGAGACGCCGGCGUGCAGCGAUUCCUCCCCACCGCCGUUUCUGCCUCCGUCCGUCCAGCCGUCGCGCUCCAACACAACAGGCUGUUAGAAAGGAUCGGGAGUCGAUUUUGUUCAAAGGGGCUAAAGCACUUCAACAACAGGAAUUAAAGAUUGGGACUUUCACAUUCAUGUGUUAUCAAAAGGAUUUCCAAACGUGUGAACUAUUGAAUGGUAUGCCGUGAAAUUCAGAAGGUAGAGAGUUCAGAAUUUGGGGAAUUAUACCUUUCGGAGAACAGGAUUUGCCAACAAACAGGGAAAUUGAAAUCACGAUCCUCUUGGUUUCAAACUUGUUGGAAGGAAGAAACUGCAGUGGCUUCCCUCUCGGUUUUCUCUCUAUUCCUUUUUCGGAAUUUCUCUGGGAUUACUGUGAAGCUUGUGGAAUAUAUCUCUACUUAGAAAGAUUUGGCUAAGACUAUCUCCAUCCGUGACACUCACCCAACCCAACCUCAAUCAAUUUUUUAAUAAAAUAUUCAUUUCUCUA